AGAGUUUGAUCCUGGCUCAGGACGAACGCUGGCGGCACGCUUAACACAUGCAAGUCGAACGAGAGAAGAGGAGCUUGCUUUUCUGAUCUAGUGGCGGACGGGUGAGUAACACGUGAGCAAUCUGCCUUUCAGAGGGGGAUACCGAUUGGAAACGAUCGUUAAUACCGCAUAACAUAAUUGAACCGCAUGAUUUGAUUAUCAAAGAUUUAUCGCUGAAAGAUGAGCUCGCGUCUGAUUAGCUAGUUGGUAAGGUAACGGCUUACCAAGGCGACGAUCAGUAGCCGGACUGAGAGGUUGAUCGGCCACAUUGGGACUGAGACACGGCCCAGACUCCUACGGGAGGCAACAGUGGGGAAUAUUGCACAAUGGAGGAAACUCUGAUGCAGCGAUGCCGCGUGAGGGAAGAAGGUUUUAGGAUUGUAAACCUCUGUCUUCAGGGACGAAAAAAGACGGUACCUGAGGAGGAAGCUCCGGCUAACUACGCGCCAGCAGCCGCGGUAAUACGUAGGGAGCGAGCGUUGUCCGGAAUUACUGGGUGUAAAGGGAGCGUAGGCGGGAUCGCAAGUCAGAUGUGAAAACUAUGGGCUUAACCCAUAAACUGCAUUUGAAACUGUGGUUCUUGAGUGAAGUAGAGGUAAGCGGAAUUCCUAGUGUAGCGGUGAAAUGCGUAGAUAUUAGGAGGAACAUCAGUGGCGAAGGCGGCUUACUGGGCUUUAACUGACGCUGAGGCUCGAAAGCGUGGGGAGCAAACAGGAUUAGAUACCCUGGUAGUCCACGCCGUAAACGAUGAUUACUAGGUGUGGGGGGACUGACCCCUUCCGUGCCGCAGCAAACGCAAUAAGUAAUCCACCUGGGGAGUACGACCGCAAGGUUGAAACUCAAAGGAAUUGACGGGGGCCCGCACAAGCAGUGGAGUAUGUGGAUUAAUUCGAAGCAACGCGAAGAACCUUACCAGGUCUUGACAUCGUAUGCAUAGCUCAGAGAUGAGUGAAAUCUCUUCGGAGACAUAUAGACAGGUGGUGCAUGGUUGUCGUCAGCUCAUGUCGUGAGAUGUUGGGUUAAGUCCCGCAACGAGCGCAACCCUUACUGUUAGUUGCUACGCAAGAGCACUCUAGCAGGACUGCCGUUGACAAAACGGAGGAAGGUGGGGAUGACGUCAAAUCAUCAUGCCCCUUAUGGCCUGGGCCUCACACGUACUACAAUGGCUGUCAACAGAGGGAAGCAAAGCCGCGAGGUGGAGCGAACCCCUAAAAGCAGUCUUAGUUCGGAUUGUAGGCUGCAACCCGCCUACAUGAAGUCGGAAUUGCUAGUAAUCGCAGAUCAGCAUGCUGCGGUGAAUACGUUCCCGGGCCUUGUACACACCGCCCGUCACGCCAUGGGAGUCGGUAACACCCGAAGCCUGUAGUCUAACCGCAAGGAGGACGCAGUCGAAGGUGGGAUUGAUGACUGGGGUGAAGUCGUAACAAGGUA
rnacentral:rRNA from 1 species